rnacentral:rRNA from 1 species
UACAUAGGAGGCAAGCGUUGUCCGGAAUUAUUGGGCGUAAAGAGCUCGUAGGCGGCUUGUUGGGUCGGCUGUGAAAUCCCGGGGCUUAACUCCGGGCGUGCAGCCGAUACGGGCAGGCUAGAGUCCGGUAGGGGAGACUGGAAUUCCUGGUGUAGCGGUGAAAUGCGCAGAUAUCAGGAGGAACACCGGUGGCGAAGGCGGUUCUCUGGGCAUUGCCUGACGCUGAGGAGCGAAAGUGUGGGGAGCGAACAGG